UGAGUACGAGCUGCUACGGCAGCGAAGUGGGUGACGUCAAGCUUCCAAGAAAAGCCCUAUACCCGUUAAGGCAUGAUGGCCUGUACCCGAAACCGACACAGGUGGGGUGGUAGAGAAUACCGAGGGGCGCGAGAUAACUCUCUCUAAGGAACUCGGCAAAAUGGCCCCGUAACUUCGGGAGAAGGGGUGCCACCGCAAGGUGGUCGCAGUGAAGAGGCCCAGGCGACUGUUUACCAAAAACACAGGUCUCCGCUAAGUCGCAAGACGAUGUAUGGGGGCUGACGCCUGCCCAGUGCCGGAAGGUUAAGGAAGCUGGUCAGCGUAAGCGAAGCUAGCGACUGAAGCCCCGGUGAACGGCGGCCGUAACAAUAACGGUCCUAAGGUAGCGAAAUUCCUUGUCGGGUAAGUUCCGACCCGCACGAAAGGCGUAACGAUCUGGGCGCUGUCUCGGAGAGAGGCUCGGCGAAAUAGAAUCGUCUGUGAAGAUGCGGACUACGUGCACCCGGACAGAAAGACCCUAUGAAGCUUUACUGUAGCUUGGUAUUGUGCUCGGGCUCGGAAUGCGCAGGAUAGGUGGGAGGCUAUGAACCAUUGCUUGUGGGUGAUGGUGAGCCACUGGUGAGAUACCACUCUUUCCGAGCUAGAGUUCUAACAGCCACCCGUUAUCCGGGGGCUGGACAGUAUCAGGUGGGCAGUUUGACUGGGGCGGCCGCCUCCUAAAAGGUAACGGAGGCGCGCAAAGGUUUGCUCAGGCUGGUUGGAAAUCAGCCGACGAGUGUAAAAGCAGAAGCAAGCUUGACUGUGAGACCUACAAGUCGAACAGGGAGGAAACUCGGCUUUAGUGAUCCGACGGUUCUGCGUGGAAGGGCCGUCGCUCAACGGAUAAAAGUUACUCUAGGAUAACAGGCUGAUCUCCCCCAAGAGUUCACAUCGACGGGGAGGUUUGGCACCUCGAUGUCGGCUCAUCGCAACCUGGGGCUGAAGUCGGUCCCAAGGGUUGGGCUGUUCGCCCAUUAAAGCGGUACGCGAGCUGGGUUCAGAACGUCGUGAGACAGUUCGGUCCAUAUCCGGUGCAUGCGCAGGAAUAUUGAGAGGAUUUCUCCCUAGUACGAGAGGACCGGGAGGAACGCACCUCUGGUGUACCAGUUAUCGUGCCAACGGUAAACGCUGGGUAGCCAUGUGCGGAGAGGAUAACCGCUGAAAGCAUCUAAGUGGGAAGCCCACCUCAAGAUGAGUAUUCCCAUGGGGUAACCCAGUAAGGUCACGGGAAGAACACCCGUUGAUAGGCUCUACGUGGAAGCGCAGUAAUGUGUGAAGCGGAGGAGUACUAAUAGACCGAGGGCUUGACC
rnacentral:rRNA from 1 species